UGGGGAAUAUUGGACAAUGGGGGCAACCCUGAUCCAGCCAUGCCGCGUGUGUGAAGAAGGCCUUUUGGUUGUAAAGCACUUUAAGCAGUGAAGAAGACUCCAUGGUUAAUACCCAUGGACGAUGACAUUAGCUGCAGAAUAAGCACCGGCUAACUCUGUGCCAGCAGCCGCGGUAAUACAGAGGGUGCAAGCGUUAAUCGGAAUUACUGGGCGUAAAGCGAGCGUAGGUGGCUUGAUAAGUCAGAUGUGAAAGCCCCGGGCUUAACCUGGGAACGGCAUCUGAUACUGUUAGGCUAGAGUAGGUGAGAGGUAGGUAGAAUUCCAGGUGUAGCGGUGAAAUGCGUAGAGAUCUGGAGGAAUACCGAUGGCGAAGGCAGCCUUCUGGCAUCAUACUGACACUGAGGUUCGAAAGCGUGGGUAGCAAACA
rnacentral:rRNA from 1 species